GACAGAGGAUGCAAACGUUGCUCGGAAUUACUGGGCGUAAAGCGCGCGCAGGUGGUCCGGUAAGUCGGGUGUGAAAUCCCGGGGCUCAACCUCGGAAGUGCAUUCGAUACUGCCGAGCUUGAGUCCUGGAGAGGAAGGCGGAAUUCUCGGUGUAGAGGUGAAAUUCGUAGAUAUCGAGAGGAACACCGGUGGCGAAGGCGGCCUUCUGGACAGUGACUGACGCUGAGACGCGAAAGCGUGGGGAGCAAACAGG
rnacentral:rRNA from 1 species